rnacentral:lncRNA from 10 species
CAGGGUUUCACCAUGUUGGACAGGCUGGUCUCGAACUCCUGACCUCAUGAUCCACCUUGGCCUCCCAAAGUGCUGGGAUUACAGGUGUGAGCCACCGUGCCCAGCCAGAUCUUUUGUUAUCUUAAUUUAUAGAUGUAUUUUUCUUUAAUGACAAAACAUACUGUUUCCAUUGGAACAAUGUAACGUUGUCUCAUUGCUCAGGGAAGCUUUAAAAAACAGGACUGCAGGCCAGGUUGGGCGCGGUGGCUCACGCCUGUAAUCCCAGCACUUUGGGAGGCCGAGGCAAGUGGAUCACCUGAGGUCAGGAGUUUGAGAACAGCCUGAACAACAUGGUGAAACCUCAUCCCUACAAAAAAUUAAAAAAUUAGCCGGGCGUGGUGGCAUGUGCCUGUAGUCCUGACUACUCAGGAGGCUGAGGGAGGAGAAUCAAUUGAACCCAGGAGGCAGAGGUUGCAGUAAGCUAAGAUUGCCCCACAGCACUCCAGCCUCGGUGACAGAGUAAGAAUCUGUCUCCAAAAAAAAAAAAAGGACUGCAUUUAAUAGGAAUGCAUCUAACAUGGGCAAGGCCCAGGCUGGUGUGAAAGAUAAUGAAACUGCUGCUUAACACUGUGAGUGGCUUUACCACACUGAGCCAUGCACCAAAAAACAGUGACAGUUUGGUGCAGUGGCUCAAGCCUGUCAUCCCAGCACUUUGGGAGGGGAGGCCGAGGCUGGAGGCUCGCUUGAACCCAGGAGUUUGAGACCAGCCUGAGCAACAUGGCGAGACACCAUCACCAUUUGUUCUUUUCUUUUCUUUUCUUUUCUUUUGAGUUGGAGUCUUGAUCUGUCACCGAGACUGGAGUGCAAUGGUGUGAUCUCGGCUCACCACAACCUCCACCUCCCGGGUUCAAGCAAUUCUCCUGCCUCAGCCUCCCGAGUAGCUGGGAUUACAGGUGCCCGCCACCAUGCCUGGCUAAUUUCUGUAUUUUUAGUAGAGAUGGCAUUUCACCAAAUUGGCCAGGCUGGUCUCUUGGCCAGGCUGGUCUCGAACUCUUGACCUUGCGAUCCGCUCUCCACGUGCCCAGCCUGAACAGUUCUUAGCUAAGUAGAUUUAACAUCUGAUCAAGAGAUGGCAUUCUGGCCGGGCACCAUGGCUCACACCUGUAAUCCCAGCAUAUUGGGAUGCCAAAGCGGGCAGAUCACUUGAGGCCAGGAGUUGGAGACCAGCCUGGGCAAUAUGCUGAAACCCCUUCUCUACUAAAAGUACAAAAAUUAGCCAGGUGGGGAGGUGCACGUGUGUAGUCCCAGCUACUCGCAAGGCUGAGGCAGAAUCGCUUAAACCCAGGAGGUCGAGGUUGCAAUGAGCCAGUGAGC